GAAAGUUCCUUUUUCCUGGCCUAGACCUGGGAGCUGCCAGGCUGCUGUGAGGGCCUGGGCUUGAACUGUACCAAUUUUUCACAAAAAGAAGAGGAAAUUGAAGAGCAGAUGAUUUCAUAACGGUUGGCCACUGAUGCUUUACAGAGCUGCAGUUAGCGUCACAGGGAAAACUUCAGCGCACACCAACACCUACAGCGCCCCUCCGACCGAAGCGCAGCGCCCCGCCCGCCCGCCAUCACGCACGCGCCCCGGGCCGGGCGGUGACGCCACGUUUAUUCGGUGCCUGAAGGGCGGAAGCGCCGUGCAGCGCUCAGGAAAUGGCGGCGCUGCGGGGCGGGCGCGUGGCGUGGUGUGUCAUGGCGGCGCGGCUCGCGAGCGGCGCUGCUUGCUGCUGGGAAACGGCGGACCGAGGAAGGACGGGACGCGGUACCCAGCCGGGCAGCUCCGCGAGGUCAGCCCCGCUCGGCCUGUGAUGCCCUCCAGUGGCAGCCGCGUGUGCUGCCGUGCUGGGCGAGGGGAGCGGGAAGAGCGCUCCGAAGUGCUUCCUGUCCCGGGAUGCAAAGAUAUUUCUGUUGCUGCCUUAGCAGUCUCAUAAGCCAUCCCUGGUGAUGACCACUGAGUCAUGCUCUGAAAAACUGGCUGUUCCUGUGAUCUGCAGAUUCAUUGAGCCAGCAACGUAGUGGCAGAGCUGUUUGGUACUCUUAGAGCCUCAGUUGCACAGUGUGCAUGUACCUCGUAGCUGGCUCAGCAAAUCAGUCCUUGCAGCACAUCUGUGAGAUGGUUGUCUGGGUUGAUAUAACAUCAGAGAUGAGCAGCUCAUCCUGGAGCCAGAAUACAGGUAAAGUUUAAACACUUGAGAUGAAAGCUGUGGGUGGAGAGUGAUGUUGUGGGGCCAUUCAGAGGGCCAACACAAGGUAGACUUUCAUCAGAAUGGCUUCAUUCACCUGGCAGUCUUUGUAUACUAAAGGUGUCCUUGAGGAGUGUCAGUCCUCCUGCUACCUCUGCUCUGAUAUUUGUUGUUUUUGUUUUAUUUUUGCAGGUCUUUCUCUCAUUGUAAAGAGCGUGGCGUUCAGUUUUGGCAGAUAAAGGUUAAAUAUGCUCCACUGCACGGAAGCUGGACCUUGAAUCAAGGCAUACAUUUUUAACUGAAGGGAGAAGAAGGUGUUAAAACAAUUCAGAAGUGUGGUGCUUUCUCACUGCUUUGUUCACUGUACACUUUAGCUGUUGUUCUCUGGUACAGCCUUUCAGUAUGUUAGCAUUGCUCACCUGGCCACCUUGUGCCCUGUGUAUUAACAGUGGUUGCAGGCUGAGUCACCUGUUUGUAGGAGACACGUGUUGUGCUCAUUGCAAGACACUGAAAUUGUCUGACCUGCCUCAUAGGAGGUUGGACGAGAUAAUCAUAACAGCGCUUUUCUGUCUUGGAAGUCUGUGAAUUCCUGGUGGGCUAAGAAAUGAAGCUAUACUUGCAUAGUUCAGUGCUGCCAAAAACAAAACCCGUUUUGUUUUCCAAGCUGUAAGUCAGUAUUCAAGUGAAGAAGGCACUAACCACUGUUCUAAGAGCAUAUUCUGCUCCUGUUUUCAUGGUUUCUGAAAAGCUUAUUUUGGGGAAAUGCAUUUCUUCUCUUAAUUUCUCAGCCAAUUGGAGAAAAACAGACAAGCUUUUGGCACACAUUUCUACAUCAAGUCUCUCUAAAUUUUGCCAAGCUUUAUUUAUAAGGACCAUGUCUACUGUAGAGACAACCUGUUCCUGACAAACCGCUAGAAUAGAAAAUUUGAACCAAUUAUUUUUGUAAUGAAUGUACAAUAAAUCUGUUGAAAAGCUAUCUGUUAAUGACUCU
rnacentral:lncRNA from 1 species